rnacentral:rRNA from 1 species
UAGCCUUGAUAUCCUUGGAAUCUCUCAGAGAUGAGAGAGUGCUAGUUUACUAGAGCCAAGUGACAGGUGCUGCACGGCUGUCGUCAGCUCGUGUCGUGAGAUGUUGGGUUAAGUCCCGCAACGAGCGCAACCCUCGUCCUUAGUUACUAACGGUUCGGCCGAGGACUCUAAGGAGACUGCCUUCGUAAGGAGGAGGAAGGUGAGGACGACGUCAAGUCAUCAUGGCCCUUACGGCUAGGGCAACACACGUGCUACAAUGGUUAGGACAAUGAGAAGCGAUACCGCGAGGUGGAGCAAAUCUAUAAACCUAAUCUCAGUUCGGAUAGCAGUCUGCAACUCGACUGCUUGAAGCUGGAAUCACUAGUAAUCGUAAAUCAGCUAUGUUACGGUGAAUACGUUCCCGGGUCU